rnacentral:tRNA from 1 species
GAGGGUAGAGCUCAGUGGUAGAGCACAUGCUUAGCAUGCAUGAGGUCCUGGGUUCAAUCCCCAGUACCUCCA